UUCUUCUUUGAUACGAAUGCCUUCUAUUCACUGCACCAUUUACUUAUCAAUGAAUGAGUGGAGGGGAAAAGAAUGCUAGAACAAACCUUUCGACAACGUCCUCAUACUAAGUAUGCGACAAUUAAAAGGCAUUAUCUUGGAUUCUGCGUUUUCGAAAUAUUU
rnacentral:snoRNA from 1 species